UACAGGGGUGCAAACGUUGCUCGGAAUCAUUGGGCGUAAAGAGCGUGUAGGCGGCCUGAAAGGUCAGCUGUGAAACUCGAGGCUCAACCUCGAGACGUCGGUUGAAACCAUCUCGGCUAGAGUCCGGAAGAGGAGUGUGGAAUUCCCGGUGUAGCGGUGAAAUGCGCAGAUAUCGGGAAGAACACCCGUGGCGAAGGCGGCACUCUGGGACGGUACUGACGCUGAGACUCGAAAGCGUGGGAGCAACAGG
rnacentral:rRNA from 1 species